rnacentral:rRNA from 1 species
GCCGGAAUCGCUAGUAAUCGCGGAUCAGAAUGCCGCGGUGAAUACGUUCCCGGGUCUUGUACACACCGCCCGUCACACCAUGGGAGUUGGAAAUGCCCGAAGUCAGUGGCCCAACCGGAAGGGGGAGCUGCCGAAGGCAGGUUCGAUGACUGGGGUGAAGUCGUAACAAGGUAUC